rnacentral:rRNA from 1 species
CACGUAUGGGGCGAGCGUUGUUCGGAAUUAUUGGGCGUAAAGGGCGUGUAGGCGGUUUAACAAGCCUGGUGUGAAAGUCUCCGGCUCAACCGGAGGAUUGCGCUGGGAACUGUUAGACUAGAGUUCAGGAGGGGGAGCUGGAAUUCCUGGUGUAGGGGUGAAAUCUGUAGAUAUCAGGAAGAACACCGGUGGCGAAGGCGAGCUCCUGGCCAUGGACUGACGCUGAGGCGCGAAAGCGUGGGGAGCGAACAGGAUUAGAUACCCCCGUA